CCUGGUUGUUGGCUUUACAAUGAAGGAUAGAGAAGUGAGGCUGGGAAAGGCUCUGCUUUGCGGGAGCUCCAGAUGCAUUCUGUCAGAAUAAAGGGCUAGUGUGAGACUUCAUCUUUAAUAUCUGAUUUACAACAGCAUGUGAUUGAAUUUAGAGAUUUUUCUACUUAAACAAUUAUUUUAAAAGUUGCCCUUCUACAGGUUCUAUAACCAAACAGCACUACCAGCUGGAUUCCAAUAAAGCUCAUAGACUACAGCUUGUGA